GGGAAUUAGCUCAGCUGGGAGAGCACCUGCUUUGCAAGCAGGAGGUCAUCGGUUCGAUUCCGUUAUUCUCCA
rnacentral:tRNA from 1 species